rnacentral:rRNA from 1 species
CCUACGUGUGGCAGCAGUGGGGAAUAUUGGGCAAUGGGCGCAAGCCUGACCCAGCAACGCCGCGUGAAGGAAGAAGGCUUUCGGGUUGUAAACUUCUUUUGUCAGGGACGAAGCACGUGACGGUACCUGACGAAUAAGCCACGGCUAACUACGUGCCAGCCGCCGCGGUAAUACGUAGGUGGCAAGCGUUAUCCGGGUGUACUGGGUGUAAGGGGCGUGUAGGCGGGACUGCAAGUCAGAUGUGAAACCCACGGGUCAAACCUGUGGCCUGCAUUUGAAACUGUAGUUCUUGCGUACUGGAGAGGCAGACGGAAGUCCUAGGGUAGCGGUGAAAUGCGUAGAUAUUAGGAGGAACACCAGGGGCGAAGGCGGUCUGCUGGACAGCAACUGACGCUGAGGCGCGAAAGCGUGGGGAGCAAACAGGAUUAGAUACCCCGGUAGUC